GUCCACAACCAUACCACUCUGAACAGGCCUGAUCUCGUCUGAUCUCAGAAGCUAAGCAGGGUCUGGCCUGGUUAGUACUUGAGUGUGAGACCGCUUGGGAAUACCGGGUGCUGUCGUCU
ensembl:rRNA 5S_rRNA 5S ribosomal RNA